CCUACGGGAGGCAGCAGUGAGGAAUAUUGGUCAAUGGGCGCGAGUCUGAACCAGCCAAGUAGCGUGAAGGAUGACUGCCCUACGGGUUGUAAACUUCUUUUAUAAAAGAAUAAAGUGAGGCACGUGUGCCUUUCUGUAUGUACUUUAUGAAUAAGGAUCGGCUAACUCCGUGCCAGCAGCCGCGGUAAUACGGAGGAUCCGAGCGUUAUCCGGAUUUAUUGUGUUUAAAGGGUGCGUAGAUGGGUUUAUAAGUCAGUUGAAAGUUGGCGGCUCAACCAUAAAAUUGCAAUUGAUACUGGCAGUCUUGAGUGCAGUUGAGGUAGGCGGAAUGCGUGGUGUAGCGGUGAAAUGCUUAGAUAUCACGAAGAACUCCGAUUGCGAAGGCAGCUUACCAAACUGCCACUGACAUUGAUGCUCGAAAGUGUGGGUAUCAAACAGGAUUAGAUACCCGGGUAGGC
rnacentral:rRNA from 1 species